GGCUUCAUGGUCUAGUGGUGUAAGUAGCAGCCCAUCCGCUGCUACAGGAUGUAGACUAAUGUGCUUUCAGAUGAUUCCUGCUUUGGGUUACUACUUAAAGUGCAGGAGGCCCCGCGUUCGAAUCGCGGUGGAGCCC